UUUAUCGGGGAAACCUCAAAAUUUUGGUGAAACUGCCGAAAUAAACUGAACAAGUCCCGUCAUGUUCAAUCUUUGAAGGAAUACAAGUUUCUGUGUGAAUCAGAAAGUCGUAUAUAUUACGCAGCGAGAUCAAUGAGAUCGAUAUAUGGAUUAUUUCCCGUUUUGGCCUUUGUGUGUGCCACAUCAAUUUUUAAAAAUAAAGAUGUGUUAACUACACCCACCAAAUGGGGAACAGGACCGGCGUGUAUUGUCGGUUGUUCUGGCAGACCGGAUGGUGUAUAUCAAUCAUGUGAUUCUUGUCAGACAUUUAUUAGAUGUAUAAGUGGUAGGUUUUAUGAAAAUGAAACUUGUGGAGAACAUUUAGUGUGGGAUGAUAAUGUAAAGGGGUGUGUCUAUCCACCAUCUGGAACCUGCUGGACGAAUGGACCGUGUACAUACAACUGCAGCAACAAACGAGACGGUAAUUACCAAUCGUGCAAAUCAUGUAACGUAUAUGUUACAUGCGUAAAUGGAAUUUUAUACGCAGACCAGCCGUGCAUGGAUGGCAAAGUUUGGGAUGAGUCAAUUCGGGAAUGCGAUUUAGCUUCAUCAACUUGUAUUCAAGAUUAAUUAAAUAAAAUAUUUAGCUUCUUUA